CUUAGCUUUGGCACCUACACUUCAGUUCAUGGUUGCUCUACAACUAAGGAGAGGUUAAGACUGUCAAAAGCUGGCAGGAGAUGGAAGCACCAGAGAGGCAACGCACCAGACGCCAGGGAAAAGAGGAACUUGCUUGCAGUUGAUGAUACAUCUGGCCAGUGCCCAGAAUGGCAGAAUGGUCUCUUGGAUACCCAUUCCCUUUUUCUCACACAAAAAUAUUGUUUUGAGUUAUACUUAAUAGACCAGCAAGAACUGAAAAAAUCCGGAACAUCUCACUAGGAGCA
rnacentral:lncRNA from 14 species